UGGCUCAGAGCGAACGCUGGCGGCAGGCUUAACACAUGCAAGUCGAGCGGGCCCUUCGGGGUCAGCGGCGGACGGGUGAGUAACGCGUGGGAACGUGCCUUCUGGUUCGGAAUAACCCUGGGAAACUAGGGCUAAUACCGGAUACGCCCUUUUGGGGAAAGGUUUACUGCCGGAAGAUCGGCCCGCGUCUGAUUAGCUAGUUGGUGGGGUAACGGCCUACCAAGGCGACGAUCAGUAGCUGGUCUGAGAGGAUGAUCAGCCACACUGGGACUGAGACACGGCCCAGACUCCUACGGGAGGCAGCAGUGGGGAAUAUUGGACAAUGGGCGCAAGCCUGAUCCAGCCAUGCCGCGUGAGUGAUGAAGGCCUUAGGGUUGUAAAGCUCUUUUAUCCGGGACGAUAAUGAC
rnacentral:rRNA from 1 species